GUCUUUAAGACACAAGACUCACAAACACUUUGGCAGCUGGACGUCCCGACCGAGGAAAAGGUGAAAAUAAAAUGCUAAAAUCAGGAUCAUGAUACUGGAAACAAGGACGUCGUCCUUCUUCCGGGACAUCCAGCUGUUCUGUCAUCAAACGUGGCACAAAGCAGAAGCUGCUGAACGAGGACAUGAACUGAACGGAUCUGAAUUCCAGAAAUCUGGGACCAACGGAGUUCCUGAACCAAUAAGAGACGCCUUUGGAGGGAAGCUGUCAGCUGAUGUCAGCCUAGAGUUUCUGACGGCAUGUGGCAACAGACUGAUUUCAGCCAAACUGCAGCUGGACAGCAGCUGGAUGCAGAUCUGAUACACAAAGUCUAGAAAUGGAAAGUUCUGUCCAUCAGACCAACACAGCGGAUUCUGGGAUGUUCUGCUCUCUUGAUUCAGAGAUGGACUGAAAACACUUGGUGUGCUGGACUAAAUCCAAGCUCAGCUCUUCUGUGCUGGUCUCCUGCAGCCUCUCAGCUGAUGUGGCCGACAGUCUUUUCAU